AUGGAUGUUAACCCGGCCAAUGCUAAGCCGCCAAGUCCCAUCAAGCCUACUGAAGAAAAGGCUGAAGACGUUGUUGUCACCGAGGUUGGUUAUACAGAGCCGGGCAACCCCAUUGUCUUAUCUAAACACAACGCUAAAGAGGAAUUUUCAGCUGCUGAAAAAGGCAAGUGGAAGUUGGAUUUGGGAAGCUAUGCCCAGUUCAACGCCCAUGAGAUUCAUGCGGGCUAUUUGAACCGCCUUCACACCAGUCGCGGCUUUGAAGCUGGCCUGGUUAACCUCAUGAAGGAGCGUUUUGAGGCUGAAUUAAAUAUGAAAGAAUCUCAAGUCACCGAUCUGCGGCAAAACAUCAAAUCCCAACAAUCAGAGACUUCGAAGGCCAUGUCAGAGCUGAAAACCGCCUUAGAAGAGACUGAAAACUGA
rnacentral:rRNA from 1 species